UGGGGAAUAUUGCACAAUGGGCGCAAGCCUGAUGCAGCCAUGCCGCGUGUGUGAAGAAGGCCUUCGGGUUGUAAAGCACUUUCAGCGAGGAGGAAGGUGGUGAACUUAAUACGUUCAUCAAUUGACGUUACUCGCAGAAGAAGCACCGGCUAACUCCGUGCCAGCAGCCGCGGUAAUACGGAGGGUGCAAGCGUUAAUCGGAAUUACUGGGCGUAAAGCGCACGCAGGCGGUUUGUUAAGUCAGAUGUGAAAUCCCCGGGCUCAACCUGGGAACUGCAUUUGAAACUGGCAAGCUAGAGUCUCGUAGAGGGGGGUAGAAUUCCAGGGUGUAGCGGUGAAAAUGCGUAGAGAUCUGGAGGAAUACCGGUGGCGAAGGCGGCCCCCUGGACGAAGGGCUGACGCUCAGGUGCGAAAGCGUGGGGAGCAAAACAGGAUUAGAUACCCUGGUAGUCCACGCUGUAAAACGAUGUCGAUUUUGGAGGUUGUGCCCUUGAGGCGUGGGCUUCCGGAGCUAACGCGUUAAAAUCGACCGCCUGGGGAGUACGGCCGC
rnacentral:rRNA from 1 species